rnacentral:misc_RNA from 1 species
GAUGAAGAACGCAGCGAAAUGCGAUACGUAAUGUGAAUUGCAGAAUUCAGUGAAUCAUCGAAUCUUUGAACGCAUAUUGCGCUCUUUGGUAUUCCGAAGAGCAUGCUUGUUUGAGUAUCAGUAAACACCUCAAAGCUUUUGGAUUUUUUAAUCGAAAAGCUUUGGACUUGAGCAAUCCCAACACCAAUCUUUUUGAGAUCGGUGGCGGGUUGCUUGAAAUGCAGGUGCAGCUGGACAUUCUCCUGAGCUAAAAGCAUAUUCAUUUAGUCCCGUCAAACGGAUUAUUACUUUUGCUGCAGCUAACAUAAAGGGAGUUUGACCGUAUUGGCUGACUGAUGCAGGAUUUCGCAAGGGUCGGCAACGAUUCUUGUUAAACUCGAUCUCAAAUCAAGUAAGACUACCCGCUGAACUUAAGCAUAUCAAUAAGCGGAGGA